UAGACAUAGAUAUAUUUAACAUAAUUUAUAAUUGCUUUCAUUUUCCAUCUAAUUUUUAUUGUCCAGUCUAGCAUUUUGAUAACUAGGAUAAAGUUUACACAAUAAUAGUUUUAAAAAUAACAUUUCUGUGCUCUUUCUCUGAAUAUAUACAAAAUUAAUAUAAAAAAUUGAACUCUGAUCUAGCAGCAAAAUUAAUCAAUUUUAUGAAAUGUAAGCUUUAAAAAGAUAGAAUUUUAAAAAUGAUGAACCCUUACAUCUCUGCCUUCCUCAAUAUCAAUAGGCUAUUAGGUUGGUGCAAAAGUAGUUGCGGUUUUUGCCAUUACUUUUAAUGGUAAAACCUCAAUUAUUUUUGCACCAACCUAAUAAUAUUCCCAUCUCCCCAUUUCUUGGUUCAUCCAUAAUAUUAGACUAUGUAAUUUACUAGGCUCAUAAUUUUAACAGAUUUAAUUUUGUUUAAAAAUCAGUCACAAUAUUAUAUUUGCUAUGCAACCGUAAACAUACAGACUGCUUUUGAAUAGGAAGAAUGCAGACUAACAAUAUAGCAGUUGAUAUGGUUUGGCUGUUUUCCCACCCAAAUCUCAUCUUGAAUUGUAAUCUGAAUUGUAAUCCGAAUUGUAAUCCCCAGGUGUCAAGGGAGGGACCUGGUGGGAGGUGAUUGGAUCAUGGGUGUGGUUUCUCCCAUGCCAUUCUUGUGAUAGUGAGGGACUUCUCAGGAGAGCUGAUGGUUUUAAAAGUGUUUCGAAGUUCCCCCCGUCGAAGCACUUCUCUAUCUCCUGCUGCCAUGUAAGAAGCUGCCUGCUUUCCUUUCAUUUUGCAGCAUGAGUCUAGGCUUCCUGAGGCCUCCCCAGCCAUGUGGAACUGUGAGUCAAUCAAACCUCUUUGUUUAUAAAUUACCCAGUCUCAGAUAGUAUCUUUAUAGCAAUGUAAAAUCAGACUAAUACAGCAAUAUAUGAAUUAUCA
rnacentral:lncRNA from 1 species